CAGUCGCCGCGGGAAUACGAGGGGGGCAAGCGUUGUUCGGAAUUAUUGGGCGUAAAGGGUGCGUAGGCGGCCCCGCAAGUCUCAUGUGAAAUCUUCAGGCUCAACUUGAAGUCUGCAUGGGAAACUGCGGGGCUGGAGUAUGGGAGAGGUGAGUGGAAUUCCCAGUGUAGAGGUGAAAUUCGUAGAUAUUGGGAAGAGCACCAGUGGCGAAGGCGGCUCACUGGACCGACACUGACGCUGAGGCGCGAAAGCGUGGGGAGCAAACAGGAUUAGAUACCCCCGUAGUCCCUGUCUCUUAUAA
rnacentral:rRNA from 1 species